AUAGAGGAGCGGACGAGCAUGAGUACCUGCGCCGCCUGCGGGAGCGGCUUCCCAGGCGCAGGAAAAGGGCAUCUCCGCCGAGGCACGGCAAGGGGCCGCCCUGCCGCCGCCGGGCGUACGGGAGAAUACCUGUGCGACUGUCACCGCCUGCGUGGAGAACUAUG
rnacentral:ncRNA from 1 species